ACCUGGGUGGCUCAGUCGGUUGAGCGUCUGACUUCAACUCAAGUCAUGAUCUCACAGUUCGUGAGUUCGAGCCCUACGUCAGGUU
rnacentral:tRNA from 1 species